rnacentral:rRNA from 1 species
AGCUAACGCGUUAAGUCGACCGCCUGGGGAGUACGGCCGCAAGGUUAAAACUCAAAUGAAUUGACGGGGGCCCGCACAAGCGGUGGAGCAUGUGGUUUAAUUCGAUGCAACGCGAAGAACCUUACCUACUCUUGACAUCCAGAGAACUUUCCAGAGAUGCUUUGGUGCCUUCGGGAACUCUGAGACAGGUGCUGCAUGGCUGUCGUCAGCUCGUGUUGUGAAAUGUUGGGUUAAGUCCCGCAACGAGCGCAACCCUUAUCCUUUGUUGCCAGCGCGUGAUGGCGGGAACUCAAAGGAGACUGCCGGUGAUAAACCGGAGGAAGGUGGGGAUGACGUCAAGUCAUCAUGGCCCUUACGAGUAGGGCUACACACGUGCUACAAUGGCGCAUACAAAGAGAAGCGACCUCGCGAGAGCAAGCGGACCUCACAAAGUGCGUCGUAGUCCGGAUCGGAGUCUGCAACUCGACUCCGUGAAGUCGGAAUCGCUAGUAAUCGUGGAUCAGAAUGCCACGGUGAAUACGUUCCCGGGCCUUGUACACACCGCCCGUCACACCAUGGGAGUGGGUUGCAAAAGAAGUAGGUAGCUUAAC